rnacentral:rRNA from 1 species
UCAGGAAUAUUGCUCAAUGGGAGAAAUCCUGAAGCAGCAACGCCGCGUGGAGGAUGAAGGGUCUAUGACUUGUAAACUCCUGUAAAGAAGGAAAAAAUUCCCAUUUGAUGGGAGAUGAUGGUACUUCUGGAGUAAGCCCCGGCUAACUACGUGCCAGCAGCCGCGGUAAUACGUAGGGGGCAAGCGUUGUCCGGAUUUACUGGGUGUAAAGGGUGCUCAGGCGGAUUUGUAAGUCAGAGGUGAAAUCUUACAGCUUAACUGUGAAACUGCCUUUGAUACUGCAAGCCUAGAGUAUGGAAGAGAGUGAUGGAAUAUCUGGUGUAGCAGUGAAAUGCGUAGAUAUCAGAUAUAACACCAAUGGCGAAGGCAGUCACUUGGUCCAUUACUGACGCUAAAGCACGAAAGCGUGGGUAGCAAACA